UGAGCUCAAUUACACCAAAGCUUUGAUGAUGGAAAUUAAACCACCAAACCGAAGAAGAACCGCGUGAUGUAAAAAAAAUCUGCGAAAAUUUGAUGAUGCAUAUCAAAACCAUAUCGAACCAUGUAAAAAUUUGUCCUGAAUUGCGUCAUUCUCGAAUUAUCAUCGUCAGCGAAAAACUUUUUCCCUGAGUGACACUAAAAACUUGUUUAUCCGCCAAAUUAUAAUGUCUCCAGCUACCCGAAAUAAAUUGUCGUGUUCCUCUUGUGUACGCAUGAAGCUAAAACGGUACCGAUCCUUACGUACGCACGCAACUGUUACCAUAAUUCCCUAUUCCAUCAAUUAACACUUUGCGAAAAUGGUCCGUUUCCUGUAGUCCACCCCGUCAAAAAACGGGCAACCAGACUGUGACCAAAAAUCUCAGCCCACGGCCGAUUUUUCGCCACGCCAAUGUCAUACCGCAAAAUUGCACGCUUGGUCCGUUGUUUCUAAAGAAUUCAUGCGGAAACGUAGAUAAUAUUUAACAUUAGAGCAGAAUCAUUACACGGGUCUGAAGCACGAGGAAAUGGAAACGUUGAGUUUACUGCAAACGGUCGUGGUGGCAGCACUUAAGUAACGCACUUACUCAAAUCAAAAACGCGUUCAUUUCGAAAAUGAUUCCUUGAUGUUUCGGUACUUGGGAAAACGAAAAAAUGAUAAACAUUGCGUUUUUAUUGAUAAUUUGGAUGAGUUUCGUUCGUGCCGAAGAGUGCUGUGACGGGAACGAACUGGAUGAAGUGCAAUCGACGUCCUGGGGGAUUUACCCGAAACAGUGGUCGCUACAAAACAGGAUACCCAUGACGUCAGAAUUCGACGUCGCCAGGAAGCGGGAAACACGAGGAAAAUUCAAAGUGAAGAAAAAAAUUAAGCGUUUCUUAUUGCCGUUACUUUUAGCCUACAAAUUAAAGUUUUUCACCCUAAUACCAGUUUUAAUCGGUGGACUUAUCCUUUUAACGGGAGCCACUGGUUUAGCAGGAUUUUUUUUCGCCCUCUUCGCUGCUGUUAUGGGACUUAAAACCGGCGGAGGGCAUUAUUAGUGCAAUUUAUUCAUGUAUUUAUUUUAUUUAUUUACGUAGAUUAGAAAAUAAAUAAUGAAUCAAUGGUUUCUUAAAAAUAGAUGUUUUUUAUUAAUUAAUAUCAGCAAUUAUGUAUUUUAAUGUAUCACGUUUCUUAGAAGAGAAAAUUACUUCAAAUUAGUUCAAAAGCUUGUCUAAUAGUUUUGUAUAAUUUAACCAUGAAGAAUAACGACACUAAAGACUUGUUUCCGGCGCAUGUAAGAUAUAAGCAAUAAAAUCAUUUUUAAUA